AGUGAACGCUGGCGGUAGGCCUAACACAUGCAAGUCGAACGGCAGCACAGUAAGAGCUUGCUCUUACGGGUGGCGAGUGGCGGACGGGUGAGGAAUACAUCGGAAUCUACUUUUUCGUGGGGGAUAACGUAGGGAAACUUACGCUAAUACCGCAUACGACCUACGGGUGAAAGCAGGGGAUCUUCGGACCUUGCGCGAUUGAAUGAGCCGAUGUCGGAUUAGCUAGUUGGCGGGGUAAAGGCCCACCAAGGCGACGACCCGUAGCUGGUCUGAGAGGAUGAUCAGCCACACUGGAACUGAGACACGGUCCAGACUCCUACGGGAGGCAGCAGUGGGGAAUAUUGGACAGUGGGCGCAAGCCUGAUCCAGCCAUACCGCGUGGGUGAAGAAGGCCUUCGGGUUGUAAAGCCCUUUUGUUGGGAAAGAAAAGCAGCAGGUUAAUACCCCGCUGUUCUGACGGUACCCAAAGAAUAAGCACCGGCUAACUUCGUG
rnacentral:rRNA from 1 species